rnacentral:rRNA from 1 species
CAUAUGCUUGUCUCAAAGAUUAAGCCAUGCAUGUCUGAGUACAGACCGAUCUAAGGUGAAACCGCGAAUGGCUCAUUAAAUCAGUCAUAAUUCCUUGGGUAGUGAAAAACUUUCCUCGGAUAACUGUGGAAAAUCCAGAGCUAAUACGUGCAACUGAGCUCCGACCUCGACGCAAGUCUUGGGAAGAGCGCAUUUAUUAGUUUCAAAACUGACCGGUGUACUCCUUCGGGAUAUGCCGUUUGUCAAUUGAUGACUCCGGAUAACUAAGCCGAGCGCUACGGUCUCUAGUACCGGCGCCGUAUCUUUCAAGUGUCUGCCUUAUCAGCUUUCGAUUGUAGGUUAAACGCCUACAAUGGCUGUAACGGGUAACGGGGAAUCAGGGUUCGAUUCCGGAGAGGGAGCCUGAGAAACGGCUACCACAUCUAAGGAAGGCAGCAGGCACGCAAAUUACCCACUCCUAGCCCAGGGAGGUAGUGACGAAAAAUAACGAUGCGAGACUCUUCCGAGGCCUCGCAAUCGGAAUGAGUCUAUUAUAAAUUUAUGGACGAGGAUCCAUUGGAGGGCAAGUCUGGUGCCAGCAGCCGCGGUAAUUCCAGCUCCAAUAGCGUAUAUUAAAGUUGCUGCGGUUAAAAAGCUCGUAGUUGGACUUACUAAACCAAUUCGUGGGAGAGUCGCUCUUUGUACUAACGUUUCGCGCGGUUCCAAGUUUCCGUGAUUUCUGGGAUUCGUUACGGCCGUGGACGGUGCGUUGUCAUCGGGUAUAGCUCGUCCGCGUUUGGUACAAUUAAAAUUUUGUCGGCUCGCUCGGAGUGCUCUUUACCGAGUGUUCCAGGGUGGCUGACACGUUCACUUUGAAAAAAUUAGAGUGCUUAAAGCGUGCCUAUAAGGGCAUGAAUGUCUGUGCAUGGAAUGAAGUAACAGGACCUCGAUUCUGUUGUUUUUGUCGGUUUUAAUGAACCGAGGUAAUGAUUAAAAGGGACAGACGGUGGCAUUAGUAUUGCGGCGCUAGAGGUGAAAUUCUUGGACCGUCGCAAGACUAACUACUGCGAAAGCAUUUGCCGAGAAUGUUUUCAUUAAUCAAGAACGAAAGUUAGAGGAUCGAAGGCGAUCAGAUACCGCCCUAGUUCUAACCCUAAACUAUGCUAACUAGCGAUCCGCCGGAGUCAUUCCCACGACCCGGCGGGAAGCCCCAGGGAAACCAAAGUCUUUGAGUUCCGGGGGAAGUAUGGUUGCAAAGCUGAAACUUAAAGGAAUUGACGGAAGGGCACCACCAGGAGUGGAGCCUGCGGCUUAAUUUGACUCAACACGGGAAACCUCACCAGGCCCGGACAUCAUAAGGAUUGACAGGUUGAGAGCUCUUUCUCGAUUUGAUGGGUGGUGGUGCAUGGCCGUUCUUAGUUGGUGGAGUGAUCUGUCUGGUUGAUUCCGAUAACGAACGAGACUCUACCUUACUAACUAGUCGGCGGAUCGUAACCCUGAGAUGGUUUUGUAGGUUGGGCCUAGACCGUAUGGUUACGGCUCUUUCCGAUACUGGGGGCGUCCGUCGCAAUAUAUCUUCUUAGAAGGAUCAGCGGCGUAUAGCCGUACGAGAAAGAGCAAUAACAGGUCUGUGAUGCCCUUAGAUGUUCUGGGCCGCACGCGCGCUACAAUGUACGGACCAGCGUGCUUUCCCCCUCCGAAAGGAAGGGUAACCCGUUGAAACCCGCACCCGAUUGGGAUUGGGGAUUGCAAAUAUUUCCCAUAAACGAGGAAUUCCCAGUAAGCGCGAGUCACUAACUCGCGCUGAUUACGUCCCUGCCCUUUGUACACACCGCCCGUCGCUACUACCGAUUGAAUGAUUCAGUGAGGGCAUCGGACUGGCCCUUCGGUUUUGAAAUAGACCUUAGGCUGACGGAAUGUCCGAACUCGAUCAUUUAGAGGAAGUAAAAGUCGUAACAAGGUUUC